AUUGAACGCUGGCGGCGUGCUUAACACAUGCAAGUCGUGCGGUAACAGGCGUAGCAAUACGUGCUGACGAGCGGCGAACGGGUGCGUAAUACAUGGGAAUCUGCCUUUUAGUGGGGAAUAACCCGGCGAAAGCCGGGCUAAUGCCGCAUAAGAUCUUCGGAUGAAAGCGGGGGAGUCGUAAGACCUCGCGCUGAAAGAAUGAGCCCACUGCCGGAUUAGCUAGNGGUGAGGUAACGGCUCACCAAGGCGACGAUCCGUAGCUGGUCUGAGAGGACGGCCAGCCACACUGGGACUGAGACA
rnacentral:rRNA from 1 species